rnacentral:SRP_RNA from 1 species
GCUAGGUGUGGUGGUGUGCACCUGUAGUCCCAGCUAUUUGGGAGGCUGAGGUGGGAGGAUCACUUGAGCCCAGGAGGUCAGGGCUGCAGUGAGCCACAAUCACAUCACUGCAUUCCAGCCUGGGCAACAGAGUGAGACCCUGUCUCAA